AGUCUUAUAGUUUAAUAAAAAUAUAAUAUUGAAAAUAUUAAGAUAUUAGUUUGAGAUUA
rnacentral:tRNA from 1 species